CCAGGUUUUCCCUUUUAGUGCUUGUCUGUGCUCUUCUUUGCGCCUUUACUGAAGCUAGGAAGCUAGUGGAAGCACAUUAUGCACUUGGUGAGGAGAAAGAAUUAUUCCCUUUUGUCCCAGAUUUUGGUAGUGGACUAGGUUGGCCUGGUGCUGGUGCUGGUGCUGGUGCUGCUGGUGCAGGUGGAGGUGGAGGUGGAGGUGGGGGUGGAGGUGGGGGUGGCAAAGGGGGUGCUGGUGCAGGUUUUGGAGGUGGAGCUGGGUUUGGGUCUGGAAAGGGGGGGGGAGGUGGAGGUGGAGGCGGAGGCGGAGGCGGUGGGGGAUCACUCGGUGGUGGAUAUGGAGGAGGAUUUGGUGCAGGGUUUGGAGGUGGAAUUGGAAGUGGACAGCCGUGAGUUCCAAAAAGCUGUGUUUCUUGCUUCCCAUCAAUGAUCUUGCUUAAUAAAGAACCAAAUUUGUUCUACUCCUGUCAUGAACUUGCAGUAGCCAGUAGCGAGUAGCAGCACUCGCUGAUUAGUUGUUACCCCUUCUAUGCAAUUGUAACCUGUACGCCUAUAUUUAGUAAGGAAUAAAAUUGCCUCGUCUUCUUUAAUUAGUAUAAUUAAUUUGUCACUCCAUUUUUGUUAUAGAAAUUCUUCAACUAC
rnacentral:lncRNA from 1 species